AUGCUGUUCCCCACCAAAUGGAGCAAGCCAAUGGCGCGGUGCCUGCUCCUCCGCCGCCACCUCACCGCCGCGGCCACCGCCACCGCCGCAGCCACGGCGCCGCUCCCCGCGAGGAGCGCCCACCGGGUGCUCGACAGGAGCGCGCACACCGACCGCAUCAAGGAGCUCGCGCGGCUCGGCCGCCUGCGGGAGGCCCGGGAGGUGUUCGACGCCAUGCCGCACCGCAGCAUCUUCGCCUGGAACACCAUGAUCUCCGCCUACUGCAACAGUGGGAUGCUCGAGGACGCGAGGUCCCUCGUCGACGCCAUCUCCGGAGGGAACGUGCGCACGAGCACCAUCCUGCUGUCGGGGUACGCCCGCCUCGGCCGCGUGCUCGACGCCCGCAGGGUGUUCGACGGAAUGCUCGAGCGGAACACCAUCGCGUGGAACGCCAUGGUCAGCUGCUAUGUCCGGAACGGGGACAUCACCAUGGCGCACAGGCUGUUCGACGCGAUGCCGCGCAGGGAUGUCACGUCGUGGAACUCGAUGCUCACCGGGUAUUGCCACAGCCGGCAGAUGGUGGAUGCAUGGCAUCUGUUUGAGCAAAUGCCAGAGCGCAACUUGGUUUCUUGGACAGUGAUGAUCUCUGGGUAUGCUAGAAUCGAGCAGCAUCGCAAGGCUUGGGACAUCUUUCGCAUGAUGCACCGUGAAGGCGUGGCACCAGACCAGUCAAACUUCGCGUCUGUGCUUUUAGCCGUGACGGGUCUUCGGGAUCUUGGUGUUCUAGAGGGCCUCCGCCCUCUAGCCCUUAAGACAGGCUUUGAGAGUGAUGUGGUCAUUGGGACGUCGAUGUUAAAUGCAUAUACCAGGGAUGCAAGUGCGCUUGACACUGCCAUUAAAUUCUUCGAGGGUAUGCCAGAGAGGAAUGAGUACACAUGGUCAACUAUGAUCGCUGCACUAUCUCAUGGUGGUCGAAUCAAUGCUGCUACUGUUGUCUAUGAAAGAGACCCUGUAAAGUCCAUUCCAUGCCAGACUGCACUGCUCACAGGCUUAGCUCGAUGUGGCAGGAUUACUGAUGCAAGGAUUUUAUUUGAUCAGAUUCCUGAUCCUAUUGUUGUGUCCUGGAACGCCAUGAUUACUGGGUAUAUGCAGAAUGGAAUGGUUGAUGAGGCAAAGGAGCUGUUCGAUAGGAUGCCGUUCAGGAACACAAUAUCCUGGGCUGGAAUGAUUGCAGGGUAUGCACAGAAUGGAAGGAGUCAAGAAGCUUUGGAUUUACUCCAAGCGCUCCAUAGGAAUGGGAUGUUACCUAGCCUAUCUAGUUUGACUAGUAGCUUCUUUGCUUGUUCAAAUAUUGGAGCUCUCAAGACAGGAAAACAAGUGCAUUCACUGGCUGUUAAGGCCGGUUGCCAGUUCAAUAGUUAUGUUGGUAAUGCUCUCAUUACUAUGUAUGGCAAGUGCGGAAACAUGGAGUAUGUGAGACAAGUCUUUAAUCGAAUGAGAGUGAAAGACACUGUGUCAUGGAACUCCUUUAUUUCGGCACUUGUACACAAUAAUAUGCUGGAGGAUGCAAGACAUAUAUUUGACAAUAUGCUCAGUCGGGAUGUUGUCUCUUGGACUACGAUAAUAUCUGCAUAUGCACAGGCUGAGCGGGGCUAUGAGGCAGUGGAGUUUUUCAAAAUAAUGUUAAACAAGCAUGAGGUACCAAAUUCCCCGAUAUUAACUAUACUUUUCAGCGUUUGUGGAAGUCUUGGUGCUCCUAAGCUUGGGCAACAAAUUCACACAGUAGCCAUCAAACAUGGAAGGGAUUCAGAACUUAUAGUGGCUAAUGCUCUCAUGUCAAUGUAUUUCAAGUGUGGUUCGGCAGAUUCUCAUAAGGUUUUUGAUUCAAUGGAGGAACGGGACAUAUUUACAUGGAAUUCCUUCAUUACAGGUUGUGCACAACAUGGCCUUGGAAGAGAAGCCAUCAAGAUGUAUAAACAUAUGGAAUCUGCAGGGGUGUUGCCAAAUGAGGUCACUUUUGUGGGGCUUUUAAAUGCAUGCAGCCAUGCUGGUUUGGUAGAUGAAGGUUGGCAAUUUUUCAAGUCAAUGAGCAGGGAUUAUGGACUGACUCCUCUGCUGGAACACUAUGCGUGCAUGGUGGAUCUACUUGGGCGAACUGGUAAUGUGCAAGGAGCUGAACAAUUUAUAUAUGAUAUGCCUAUUGAACCAGAUGCAGUGAUUUGGAGUGCUCUUCUUGGGGCAUGCAAGAUUCACAAGAAUGCGGAAAUCGGUAGAAGGGCUGCUGAGAAACUCUUCGCUAUUGAGCCAUCAAAUUCUGGCAACUAUGUCAUGUUAUCAAAUAUAUAUUCUUCUCUAGGGAUGUGGGUAGAAGUUGCGGAGGUACGGAGAAUUAUGAAACAACAAGGUGUCACAAAAGAGCCUGGCUGUAGCUGGAUGCAGAUUAGGAACAAAGUGUACUCAUUUGUCACUGGGGAUAAACAGCAUGAGCAAAUUGAAGAGAUAGAAUCUACCCUCCAGGAUUUGUACACUUCGUUAAGGACUACAGGCUAUGUGCCUGACACUGAAUUUGUUCUCCAUGACAUCGAUGAAGAGCAGAAGGAGAGUUCCCUUCUGUAUCACAGUGAGAAGCUUGCUGUUGCUUAUGGCCUUCUUGUUACACCCCAGGGCAUGCCUAUACAGAUAAUGAAGAACCUUAGGAUAUGUGGUGACUGUCACACUUUCUUCAAGUUUGUGUCACAUGUCACCAAGAGAGAUAUUGACAUCAGGGACGGAAAUCGGUUUCAUCAUUUUAGGAAUGGAAGUUGUUCAUGUGGUGACUUCUGGUGA
rnacentral:rRNA from 1 species